UACAGAGGGUGCGAGCGUUAAUCGGAUUUACUGGGCGUAAAGCGUGCGUAGGCGGCCAAUUAAGUCAAAUGUGAAAUCCCCGAGCUUAACUUGGGAAUUGCAUUCGAUACUGGUUGGCUAGAGUAUGGGAGUGGAUGGUAGAAUUCCAGGUGUAGCGGUGAAAUGCGUAGAGAUCUGGAGGAAUACCGAUGGCGAAGGCAGCCAUCUGGCCUAAUACUGACGCUGAGGUACGAAAGCAUGGGGAGCAAACAGG
rnacentral:rRNA from 1 species